rnacentral:rRNA from 1 species
AGAAGAACCCCUGAUGCCGUCGAGCCAAGAAAAGUUUCUAAGUUUAGCUAAUGUUGCCCGUACCGUAAACCGACACAGGUGGGUGGGAUGAGUAUUCUAAGGCGCGUGGAAGAACUCUCUUUAAGGAACUCUGCAAAAUAGCACCGUAUCUUCGGUAUAAGGUGUGCCUCCCUUUGUAUUAGAAUUCACUUCGAAAGCAAAGAAGGUUACAACAAAGAGUCCCUCCCGACUGUUUACCAAAAACACAGCACUCUGCUAACUCGUAAGAGGAUGUAUAGGGUGUGACGCCUGCCCGGUGCUCGAAGGUUAAUUGAUGGGGUUAGCAUUAGCGAAGCUCUUGAUCGAAGCCCGAGUAAACGGCGGCCGUAACUAUAACGGUCCUAAGGUAGCGAAAUUCCUUGUCGGUUAAAUACCGACCUGCAUGAAUGGCGUAACGAGAUGGGAGCUGUCUCAAAGAGGGAUCCAGUGAAAUUGUAGUGGAGGUGAAAAUUCCUCCUACCCGCGGCAAGACGGAAAGACCCCGUGGACCUUUACUACAGCUUGACACUGCUAUUUGGAUAAGAAUGUGCAGGAUAGGUGGGAGGCUUUGAGUAUAUGACGCCAGUUGUAUAUGAGCCAUUGUUGAGAUACCACUCUUUCUUAUUUGGGUAGCUAACCAGCUUGAGUUAUCCUCAAGUGGGACAAUGUCUGGUGGGUAGUUUGACUGGGGCGGUCGCCUCCCAAAUAAUAACGGAGGCUUACAAAGGUUGGCUCAUAGCGGUUGGAAAUCGCUAGUAGAGUAUAAAGGUAUAAGCCAGCUUAACUGCAAGACAUACAAGUCAAGCAGAGACGAAAGUCGGUCUUAGUGAUCCGGUGGUUCUGUGUGGAAGGGCCAUCGCUCAAAGGAUAAAAGGUACCCCGGGGAUAACAGGCUGAUCUCCCCCAAGAGCUCACAUCGACGGGGAGGUUUGGCACCUCGAUGUCGGCUCAUCGCAUCCUGGGGCUGGAGCAGGUCCCAAGGGUAUGGCUGUUCGCCAUUUAAAGCGGUACGCGAGCUGGGUUCAGAACGUCGUGAGACAGUUCGGUCCCUAUCUGCCGUGGGCGUAAGAAGAUUGAAGAGAUUUGACCCUAGUACGAGAGGACCGGGUUGAACAAACCACUGGUGUAGCUGUUGUUCUGCCAAGAGCAUCGCAGCGUAGCUAAGUUUGGAAAGGAUAAACGCUGAAAGCAUCUAAGCGUGAAGCCAACUCUAAGAUGAAUCUUCUCUAAGCUCUCUAGAAGACUACUAGUUUGAUAGGCUGGGUGUGUAAUGGAUGAAAGUCCUUUAGCUGACCAGUACUAAUAGAGCGUUUGGCUUAUCUUAUAAAUA